rnacentral:ncRNA from 1 species
UGGCGAGGACGACCUCCCCAUAUGGGACGAACAGCCGGGACGACCCGG